GAUGAACGCUAGCGGCAGGCUUAACACAUGCAAGUCGAGGGGCAGCACAGGUAGCAAUACUGGGUGGCGACCGGCAAACGGGUGCGGAACACGUACGCAACUUACCCUAAACAGAUGAAUAGCCCUCGGAAACGGGGAUUAAUACAUCGUAAACUAUAAGAGUGGCAUCAUUUUUAUAGAAUAGCUGAGGCGGUUUAGGAUGGGCGUGCGUCCCAUUAGCUAGUUGGUAAGGUAACGGCUUACCAAGGCGACGAUGGGUAACUGGUGUGAGAGCACGACCAGUCACACGGGCACUGAGACACGGGCCCGACUCCUACGGGAGGCAGCAGUGAGGAAUAUUGGUCAAUGGACGCAAGUCUGAACCAGCCAUGCCGCGUGAAGGAUGAAGGCGUUCUGCGUUGUAAACUUCUUUUAUCAGGGAAGAAACCUCAGUAUUCUUAUUGAGCCGACGGUACCUGAUGAAUAAGCACCGGCUAACUCCGUGCCAGCAGCCGCCGCAGUAA
rnacentral:rRNA from 1 species